ensembl:snRNA B0205.15 ncRNA
GCUCUUCCGAGAACAUAUACUAAAAUUGGACUAAUACAGAGAAGAUUAGCAUGGCCCCUGCGCAAGGAUAACACGCAAAAGUAGACGUUCCAACCGACACGCCUCUUU